GACAAUCAGGGAGCAAGAGCUUUCAUAGACAGACAGAGACGGCUACAGGCGGAAACAGCACAGUCAGCUCUGUCGUCUUACAGUUGGUCACCAGUGGUCUGACCAGCGUCGUCUUGAUUGUUUUAGUGUGUGUGUACGGUACAGGUCGUGUAGAGCAACCUCAAAUUUCCAGUACCAGAAAGCUGUCUAAAACAGCUCACCUGGAAUGCAUGGUAUCCGGUGUAACAAUUUCUACCACAUCUGUAUAUUGGUAUCAAGAAAGACCCGGUCAAGCCAUACAGCACCUGCUACACAUUUUCUCUAACAACACCGUCAAAAGGGAAUCAGGCAUUCUGUUGAGCAAGUUUGAGGCACACAUGACACCUGAAACUUCCACAUCGACCCUCACCGUUCACAAUGUGCGGGAACAAGACUCUGCCACCUACUACUGUGCCCUCUGGGAUAUGCACGCUGCUAGUUCAAUCUGGAUCAAGGUAUUUGGUGAAGGAACUAAGCUCGUAGUAAUACCUCCUGAUAGAAGGCUUGAUGGAGACUUGUUUCCCAAGCCCACUAUAUUUUUCCCUUCAGUUGAGGAAGUAAAACUCCAUAUGGCUGGAACACAUCUUUGCCUUCUUCAGAAAUUUUUCCCUGAUGCUAUUAAGGUACAAUGGAAAGAAAAGAAUGGCAAUACAAUUCUGGAAUCCCAACAGGGAGAUAUCAUCAAGACCAAUGACACAUACAUGAAAUUCAGCUGGCUGACCUUGACUAAAAAGGCAAUGGAUAAAGAACAUGUAUGUAUUGUCAAACACGAGAAUAACAAAGGUGGACGUGAUCAAGAGAUUCUUUUUUCUUCAGUUAAAAAAGAGGUCGCUAAAAAGGCCUGCAUGAAAAAAGAAAGUGAUACCCUGCAGCUGCAGUUUGCGAGCACCUCUGCCUAUUAUACCUACCUCCUCCUCCUCCUCAAGAGCGUGAUCUACUUCUCCAUCAUCGCCUUCUGCGUGUUUAAGAGAACAGACAUCUUCAGCGAUUGGAAGAUUUUCUGAUGGUGCCCUAAAACGGUCAACUCUCCUUCAUCAUCUACAUAAUGGGUACAUUUUUCUAUUAUUGUGUACUGAUUUUUCAAGCCACUGGGCAAACAGUUUUCCUCUUUAACAAGGAAUUCUGCCAUUAUUCAGGGAAAGUGCCCAGGACUGGUCCAGGGGAUCCUCUCCCCACCCUAUCCCUACAACCUCAUCAGCUCCUCCAGCCUCCAAGUCCUUGUACCUGCACACAGCGGGCAGCUCCCCAUCUCUUCCCUCAGCACCACCCCCCAGACAUCACCCUGACCCUCCCUGCCACACAUUCUGGGACUGCCAGCUUAGCUACUUGAAUUCUGUACUUUCUUUUUCAUAAUGGGCAUAAUAAUUAAAAAGAGAAAUCAAUAGCCA